AAAUAGAAAAUUCACUCUCACAAAUUAGAUAUAAUAUUUCACACAAACUUUAUAUGAAGCACGCUCAUUUCAGAAAUUUUAUAAUAUUAAAUAAAAUUAAAAUAAUAUAAAAUAUAAGUGAGGCUACUAUGCUUCUGGAAGCACGGAAGCUUUCGUGCUUCCGGGUCGUUUUCAAUGUUGCGACUUUCGAAUCGUCGAUCGGCUCCAUUAAACUUGAUGUAGAGUAUUUGAAGUACCUAGAAAAUAAAUUAUGCGAUUUUUCGAUAUUAUUUGCCUAGUGAACGAAGGGGCUCAAAAUUAACAGCUGAAAAUAAAAAUCUUACAAAACGUGAUAAUAUGACAUUAAAAUUUUAGAUCAAAGAUAUUGAUCUUAUUUUAUAUAGUAUAAAGAAUUUUCUAUCAAAAUUUCACGUGAUUUAGAUAUUUCUACAUCGUUAAAUUUGCAAACGGCUCACUACGGCCAUUAAAAUUAUUGAUUUUGAGCCCCUUCGAUCACUAGGCAAAUGAUAUCGAAAAAUCAUAAAAUUUAUUUUCUAGAUACUUCAUAUACUCUAGAUCAAGUUUAACGGAGCCGAUCGACGAUUCGAAAGUCGCAACAUUGAGAACGACCUAAAAGCACGAAAAGCUCCGUGUUUCCAAAAGUAUAGUAGACUCACUCUAUAAAAUAUUACCAAAUUAAAAUAGUAAGAGAAUACAAAAUAGCGCACUACCAAAAAAUAAAAGUUUCAUAACAACUGUCUAUUUAUAAAAAAUAAGCCAAU
rnacentral:lncRNA from 1 species